UAACAUCUGUCCUACUCUUGCCCUA
rnacentral:piRNA from 1 species